GCUGACGCCGACGCGCAGCCGCGGCGUGCUGUCAUGUCAUCCUGUGUUGGGGGUUACUGUUGGCGGGAGAUUCCAGCAUGGCAGUCCAACCGACUGAAAGCUGUCUAUGGACAGCGGCUUCCUCAGCUUUUACUUCAGCAUGCCGGAUACCACCUUGCGGGUGUUCGGCAGGAGCGACUUCUACACCUUCGCCGCCAAGGAGGUCUUCAAGACCAAUGGGCUUAUCAAGGAACAAGAAAUUGGAGAGCGUGGUAAUCGGUAAAAUUAACUUUGAGUCUGUUGUGAGAGAUCUGCUUAUUGUUCGUCAGUAUCAGGUGGAAGUUUACAAAAAAAAUCAAAUCCUCCAAUGACUGGCACUUGGCAUUUAAGAUUGUCCAGAGAGGUGGGUUUCUGAUCACGAACAGGAAAUGGGCAGAGCUCACUACAAAGGACAGCAUGCCGUUUGUUGAAAGCCAAGAAAGGUGGACAAGUCAAUAGUGCUGCAUUACCAGAGAUAGAUGCUCCCGACUGAUGCCAGUAGCGGAGGGGCCGCAGAUGCUCCCCGACUGAUGAUGCCUCCGUAGCGGGCGGGCCACUUAUGCUCCCCGACUGAUGAUGCCUCCGUAGUGGGUGGGCCACUAAAGCUCCCUGACUGAUGAUGCCUCCGUAGUGGGCGGGCCACUGACGCUCCCUGAUUGAUGAUACCUCCGUGGCGAGCCACUGACGCUCCCCGACUGAUGCCUCCGUAUCGGGCGGGCUGAUGAUGCUUCCCUAGCGGGCGGACCUCUGACGGGCGGGUUACUGACGCUCCCGGACUGAUGUUGCCUCCGUAGCGGGCGGGCCACAGAUGCUCCCCGACUGAUGUUGCCUCCGUAGCGGGCGGGCCACUGACGCUCCCCGACUGAUGCCUCCGUAUCAAUAGUGCUGCAUUACCAGAGAUAGAUGCUCCCGACUGAUGCCAGUAGCGGAGGGGCCGCAGACGCUCCCCGACUGAUGAUGCCUCCGUAGCGGGCGG